rnacentral:rRNA from 1 species
UGAACGCUGGCGGCAUGCUUUACACAUGCAAGUCGAACGGUAACAGGCCUUCGGGUGCUGACGAGUGGCGAACGGGUGAGUAAUGCAUCGGAACGUACCCAGAGGUGGGGGAUAACGCAGCGAAAGCUGUGCUAAUACCGCAUGUGAUCUGAGGAUGAAAGCGGGGGACCGAGCAGCAAUGUUUGGCCUCGCGCCUUUGGAGCGGCCGAUGUCGGAUUAGCUAGUUGGUGGGGUAAAGGCCUACCAAGGCGACGAUCCGUAGCUGGUCUGAGAGGACGACCAGCCACAAUGGGACUGAGACACGGCCCAGACUCCUACGGGAGGCAGCAGUGGGGAAUUUUGGACAAUGGGCGCAAGCCUGAUCCAGCAAUGCCGCGUGCGGGAAGAAGGCCUUCGGGUUGUAAACCGCUUUUGGCAGGAACGAAACGGUGUCCGCUAAUACCGGGCGCUAAUGACGGUACCUGCAGAAUAAGCACCGGCUAACUACGUG